GAAAUAGUGACUGUACCAGUUAGAAUUCAAGAAAAAGGGAACUGUUAUGGGGAUUAGACCUUAUUUAGUUAUGGAGCCUGGCUAAUCAGUCUACGUAAGACUACUGUAGCCUCUGUGUCUGGUGUUGGGUCUGUGGUCAGCAGAAGAGGCUGUUGAGAAGAACAGAUGGAAGUGAGGAAGAGGAAGAACAACCUGGAACCCACAAGGACAGCAUCUGUCUCGUUCCACCUCCAAUCUCCAUGAUGUGGAUGACCUUUGGAUAAGCAGGUACCCCUAUCAGGGAGCUGCACAUGCAUCUGGCCCAGGACACAGAAGAGCUAGAGGAGCCCUGGGCGGCACGCCAACAAGACCUUUUGUCCCCUUUAUCAGAUAACAAAGCUCUUUUUCCCUGUGGGGAGCACAUUCUAUGUGACACAAGUCCCUGGACUCAGAGCCUUCAUCCCCCAGCUACAGUGAUCGGCUCAGAGAUGGGCACAUGACCCAAGCCAGCCAGCUGGAGUCCUUUGGGGAUUUUCUCACCAAAGCUAUCAAAGAAAAUGGUCUCUUUCUGCUGAGAGGGUGUGAUUCUGGGGCUCCAGCAACCACUGAUACCAUCAUGCAGAGAAAGCCUGUCUGAAGAAUAAGCCAAGUCGAGUCAAGAGAGGAGAGAGAAAGACUGUCUUGUCAAGCUGUUCCUAUGCCAGCUGCAAUCCUGCACUUCCGAAGCGCACAAAUGAAGAUGAGCGCUCUUUUACAUAAACCAGAUUCAGUUGGGUUUCUUUCACUCAAAAUUGAAGACCACCUGACGAAUCCAAGACUCAAAACUUAGGCAGACGUGUAUCUGUAGGAAAUUAAAUGACUAUGGAUGAGUUCAAUAUAGAACGGAGAUGGAGGAGCAGUGAAUGAAGGGACAGGGACGCUCCGUUCCAGACCAGCUCUUCGUUGCCUGUGUGACUGAGGGUAAGUUGUCUCACCUCUCUGCACCUCCGUCUGCUGCACUGUGAAAGGGCAGGCGAGGCCAGACCCACAUCAAAGAGUCCUCCGUGCUGAAUGCCCAGGAUUUUGCCCCCUGAGCAGCCCUGAGUCAUGUUACGCUGUCACCGUAUCCACGCAGGCCUCGGAACACCCAAACCCAGGCUGGGACCCCCUGACCAGCUUCCCAGGUAAGAGCUGCAGCCAGUUGCCACUUAGGCAAAUGUCUGCACACUCUCACCUCCCUCCUCUUUCUCCAGACAUUUGGUGGCCUCCUGUGUACACAAACUCACAGAGCUGCUGAAGAUAAACAGAGUGAUGUUCAGACCCUGAAACUAUGAGGGAACAGCUGAUGGUAUCAUAACACCAGGCAGAAAACUCGGGGAGCUCGUCCAAACCACACAGCAAAUUCACGGCGUGAUGUUCACCCCACUGCAGGAGGGGCCUAAUGAUUCUCCCUUGUCCCACCUGCCAACUCGGUACCCCUGGAGGCCCAGGCAGCAAGCCUGGAGCGACGGUGAGGAUGGAUUUUUGUCUCCAACUUCCACCCUCUUGGAGCGGCCAGUGCUGGGCGGCCCUACAAAUGUUUGCCGGCUGCAGUCUUGGCCACACAACAGUCAGAGAAAGCGUCUCCUAAGUACUGGUGUUCAUAGUACAGAAAUCCAGCCUCCAGAAUUAAAUAGGGAGGGAGGAGAGCUGUGUAAGGUGGGGUCCUCUGGAUGGUUAUGUUUUUACAAUUUUAAAAAGUUAUGGAUGUUUCUGCCACAUACGCCUAUAUCCAAAAGCUAAACCAGGAUAAGCUAAGAAGGCAGAACUAGGCCCGCAUCGUAGGCUGAAUAAAUCAUUCUACCACCGACCUAUAAGCCUUAAGAAAGCCAGGGUUUUGUCUGUCUUGCCCACUGUCGGGGGCAUGGCUUCACAUCCAGGAGGUCUUCAAUAAACAUUUUUGUAUGCUUGUUCAUUAACCAAAAAGCAGGCAGACUUUUGAGUGAGAGGAAGUUUAUUUUAAAUGAAUAGUGAAUGGAGGCGCAGACCAGAGAAAAGGAGACUACAGUCAGAAUUGUGAGGUGGAAAAAGAGGGUUCUUUGCAUGGCAGGUCAUUGUUGUAAGCAUUCUAGAAACAUAAACAUUCACCCCAGAAAUCCUAGGAGCCACCUACCACCCUGGACUGCUGUUUUCCCCCAAAGUUUUAAAUACAUUAUAUAUAGGGACACAGGCUAUGAACUUUUGGAGCGUGAUACAGUGAAAUUCCUGUUUGUCUAAAAAGACGCACCCUAGGAAAGGAGCCCCUUAUUAGCUGAGAGCUGGGUGGCGCAUUCCAGUUCUCUUGGGGCAACUUCUGGCCAGGCCAAAGCCCUCAUUCCCUCUGAACCUGAGGAAGUGGAGGGCGGCAGCAAGAGAGGAGAAGAGGAGAAGGCGGCCAAAAAAGCUCCCCUUUACCCACUCCAAGCCCUCUCCCCACCCCCAUUGUCCAUAGAUCUUCUUCCCCAGGAUCAACAGGUGGUAGGAAGCCAAAGUCUCUCCAGCAUUUUCAUGGAUGACUCUCUCCUCUUUGGUUUGUUGCUCAUUUCUGAAAAGAAGGUUCUGGGUGCUGUGAUUGUCCUAUACACCCAAUGACUCCCACACCAAGGGAGAUGUGAAGGUGCUGAGAUCAGGUGGUGCUAUUAAAUAGAGCCAGGGUGGCUCCCCCUGGAUGCCCCGCCUUGUGUAUUUCACAGC